rnacentral:rRNA from 1 species
AUUGAACGCUGGCGGCAGGCCUAACACAUGCAAGUCGAGCGAGCGGCGGACGGGUGAGUAAUGUCUGGGAAACUGCCUGAUGGCGGGGGAUAACUACUGGAAACGGUAGCUAAUACCGCAUACCCUCAGAUGUGCCCAAAUGGGGUUAGCUAGUAGGUGGGGUAAUGGCUCACCUAGGCGACGAUCCCUAGCUGGUUUGAGAGGAUGACCAACCCAACUGGAAAUGAGGCACGGUCCAGGCUCCUAGGGGAGGACGCAGGGGGGAAUAUUGCACAAUGGGCGCAAGCCUGAUGCAGCCAUGCCGCGUGUAUGAAGAAGGCCUUCGGGUUGUAAAGUACUUUCAGCGAGGAGGCGUUACUCGCAGAAGAAGCACCGGCUAACUCCGUGCCAGCAGCCGCGGUAAUAC